AGCAGCCGCGGUAAUUCCAGCUCCAAUAGCGUAUAUUAAAGUUGUUGCAGUUAAAAAGCUCGUAGUUGAAUUUCGGGGUCAAUACGUCGGUCGUGCCUCCGGUACGUACUGACGUCGUUGAUUCCUCCUUUCUGAUGAGCCACGAUGUCAUUAAUUUGGUGUUGUGGGGAGUCAGGACUGUUACUUUGAAAAAAUUAGAGUGUUUAAAGCAGGCAAACGCUUGAAUACAUUAGCAUGGAAUAAUGAAAUAGGACGUUCGAACCUAUUUUGUUGGUUUCUAGGAUCAACUUAAUGAUUAAUAGGGAUAGUUGGGGGCAUUAGUAUUCAAUUGUCAGAGGUGAAAUUCUUGGAUUUAUUGAAGACUAACUACUGCGAAAGCAUUUGCCAAGGAUGUUUUCAUUAAUCAAGAACGAAAGUUAGGGGAUCGAAGACGAUCAGAUACCGUCGUAGUCUUAACCAUAAACUAUGCCGACUAGGGAUCGGAUGAAGUUAAUUUUUAAUGACUCAUUCGGCGCCUUAC
rnacentral:rRNA from 1 species